rnacentral:rRNA from 1 species
CACGUAGGAGGCAAACGUUAUCCGGAUUUACUGGGCGUAAAGAGCUCGUAGGUGGUUUGUCGCGUCGUCUGUGAAAUUCCGGGGCUUAACCUCGGGCGUGCAGGCGAUACGGGCAAUACUUGAGUGCUGUAGGGGAGACUGGAAUUCCUGGUGUAGCGGUGAAAUGCGCAGAUAUCAGGAGGAACACCGAUGGCGAAGGCAGGUCUCUGGGCAGUAACUGACGCUGAGGAGCGAAAGCAUGGGUAGCGAACAGGAUUAGAUACCCCU